GACGACGCUGGCGGCGUGCUUAACACAUGCAAAGUCGAACGGGCACUUCGGUGCUAGUGGCGAACGGGUGAGUAAAGCGCAGGUAAUCUGCCGCAAAGUCGGGGACAACGUUCUGAAAAGAACGCUAAUACCGCAUAACGUAUCGAAGCCGCAUGACUUUGACUACCAAAGAUUUUAUCGCUCGGAGAUGGACUCGCGUCCGAUUAGUUAGUUGGCGGGGUAACGGCCCACCAAGACCGCGAUCGGUAGCCGGACUGAGAGGUUGAACGGCCACAUUGGGACUGAGACACGGCCCAGACUCC
rnacentral:rRNA from 1 species